GAUGAACGCUGGCGGCGUGCCUAAUACAUGCAAGUCGAACGAACCGUCCUUACGCUUGCUUCUUUCAUUUUACCGACGGACGUGUGAGUCACACGUGGAUAUCCUACCUAUGUAACUUGGCUAACUUCAGGAAACCGGACCUAGUACCAGAUACUAUUUUCAACCACCUCUUUCAAUCGUGAAAGACGUUCUUGCUGUCUCUUUUAGCUGGCUCCGCGCUGUAUUAGCUAGUUGGUAAGGUAACGGCUUACCAAGGCAACGAUGCAUAGCCGACCUGAGAGGGUGAUCGGCCACACUGGAACUGAGACACGGUCCAGACUCCUACGGGAGGCAGCAGUAGGGAAUCUUCCACAAUGGACGAAAGCCUGACGGAGCAACGCCGCGUGAGUGAUGAAGGUCUUCGGAUCGUAAAACUCUGUUAUUAGGGAAGAACACAUGUGUAAGUAACUGUGCACACCUUGACGGUACCUAAUCAGAAAGCCACGGCUAACUACGUG
rnacentral:rRNA from 1 species